rnacentral:SRP_RNA from 1 species
GCCGGGUGCGGUGGCUCACGCCUGUAAUCCCAGCACUUUGGGAGGCUGAGGUGGGUGGAUCACCUGAGGUCAGGAGUUCGAGACCAGCCUGACCAACAUGGAGAAACCCCGUCUCUA